UACGGAGGGUGCGAGCGUUGUUCGGAAUCACUGGGCUUAAAGGGCGUGUAGGCGGAGCAUCAGGUGCCUUGUGAAAUCCCUCGUCUCAAACGAGGAACGGCUGGGCAAACCGAUGUUCUUGAGGCAGGUAGAGGCGACUGGAACGUUUGGUGGAGCGGUGAAAUGCGUAGAGAUCAAACGGAACGCCGGUGGCGAAAGCGGGUCGCUGGGCCUGAACUGACGCUGAGACGCGAAAGCGUGGGGAUCAAACAGGAUUAGAACCUACCGUU
rnacentral:rRNA from 1 species